UACGGGGGGGGCAAGCGUUGUUCGGAAUUACUGGGCGUAAAGGGUUCGUAGGUGGCUCGCUAAGUCAGACGUGAAAUCCCUCAGCUUAACUGGGGAACUGCGUCUGAGACUGGCAAGCUUGAGUGCAGGAGAGGAACGCGGAAUUCCAGGUGUAGCGGUGAAAUGCGUAGAUAUCUGGAGGAACACCGGUGGCGAAGGCGGCGUUCUGGACUGCAACUGACACUGAAGAACGAAAGCCAGGGGAGCAAACGGG
rnacentral:rRNA from 1 species